rnacentral:rRNA from 1 species
AUUGAACGCUAGCGGGAUGCCUUACACAUGCAAGUCGAACGGAGUGGCGAACGGGUGCGUAAUGUAUCGGACCGUGCCCAGUAGCGGGGGAUGACUACGCGAAAGCGUAGCUAAUACCGCAUACUAUUGGAGCGGCCGAUACCGGAUUAGCUUGUUGGUGGGGUAACGGCGCACCCAGGCGUCGAUCCGUAGCUGGUUUGAGAGGACGACCAGCCACACUGGAACUGAGACACGGCCCAGACUCCUACGGGAGGCAGCAGUGGGGAAUUUUGGACAAUGGGGGAAACCCUGAUCCAGCCAUCCCGCGUGUGUGAUGAAGGCCUUCGGGUUGUAAAGCACUUUCGGCAGGAAAGCGGUACCUGCAGAAUAAGCACCGGCUAACUACGUGCCAGCAGCCGCGGUAAUUC